GGCCCGGUAGCUCAAUGGAUAGAGCGGCUCCGUCCUAAGGAGAAGGUUGUGCGUUCGACUCGCGCCCGGGUCACCA
rnacentral:tRNA from 1 species